UUGGAGCAGCUCGGGGAGCUCUAAAGAUAGGAUGGUGAUUACUGCAGAAUUGCAAUGGAUUGGGUUGAUGGAAGAAGACCCCCAUCCGCCGUCUAAUUGGGCUCCUCCACGCUGCUGCGUACGUGAGACUCAAGUGAGGCUCUCGCACCAGCAGCCUGGGCACCACCGGGGAGCUUGUUAGAAAUGCAGAAUCUCGGGCUCCACGCCAGACAGACCAAAUCUGCGUUCGGCCACAGGGUGCACGUUACAGUUGAGAAGCUCGGCCCUGGACUGAAGCUUGCACACAAUGAGUGAGAGUGAAUGAGACUUGCUCUCAUCUAUAAAAUGGGGAUAAUGAUAUUUGUUCUUUCCCAUCGGGGUGAUGCUGGGAGAUGGCAUAUAGUACAGUUGGCCCUGGAACAACAUGGGUUUGA